AUCCAGCUGACGAGUCCUAAAAAUAGAACGAAAUGCGCGUCCUGUAU
rnacentral:hammerhead_ribozyme from 1 species